rnacentral:rRNA from 1 species
UGGGGAAUAUUGGACAAUGGGCGCAAGCCUGAUCCAGCCAUGCCGCGUGAGUGAUGAAGGCCCUAGGGUUGUAAAGCUCUUUUGUGCGGGAAGAUAAUGACUGUACCGCAAGAAUAAGCCCCGGCUAAUUUCGUGCC